rnacentral:lncRNA from 1 species
UGGGGCAGACUAUUCUGUCAUAAAUUCCUUGUUAAAAAAAAAAACAUAACAAUUCAUUCAACUAUAAAUAACCAAUUUUCCAGCAUCAAAAUACAAUUCACAUAAUAAAAAAAUUAAACUGACAAUUAACAUAACAUUUUAUUAAAAAUUAAACUAAUUAUACAUUCAUUCAUAAUUACCAUAACAUAUAAUAAUAUUGAAUUGUAUUUAAUAAUCUCUCAACUCGUGAAAGCGUUUAGAGCACUCGUGUACGGGGUUGGAACAUCACUCCAACUCGUCCAGUUCAAGAACAGGUCUAUAAUAUCCAUGCGGGUGGGAAAAGGACCAAUAACAUCAUAACUCAUGGAUGGACAUGGGUUGCUCGUGGACGGGCCUAGGACGCUCGUGACACUAUUAUGAUAAGCAAUCUCAUUUUCCGUUAAUGUUGCUUUAAGAUGCUCAACCUCCCCAACCUCAUGAAGUCCAUCGUGACAUACAUUGAGCAUAGUGUUGGCCACAAUACAUCUCAUCUCAUUGACAUCUUCACUGAUAGUCGUUGCUACUUUUCGAGCUUCUCAUACCAAGUAAUUAACACACACACACACACACUAAAAACCAAUUAGUAGUCAUCAUCCAUAAUAAAAUUAAUCCAGUAUUUAAUGAAUGUAAAACAAUAUUGCAUACCAAAUGAUUUUGUCUCGAAUAUUAAAAAGCAUAGUGCAUCAGAUUUCAUGGAUGUCUCAGGGAACGUGAUUAAGUUGAUGUAAUGAAACUACGCGUAAUGGACAGAUACCAUGACAUAUAGAUAUUUAUAUCAAUCAUCGGAAGUUGCUCCUAAAAAACAUGAUAUCUCCUGGCAUCUCAAAGAUCAAUGUAAGAUGCAUGAAUUACUAACCAGUUUUCCUCAUGCCUACGCUAGCAACUAAUAUUGUGCAACUCAUCUUUGGUAUCAACAUAAUCUAGAAUAUGCUGAGAUAGUCCAAAUUAAUAUAUUACCUAAUCUGGCCAAUGCAUUUCAACAAUGUCAUAGUAAUGCAACGAGACCUAUGUUAACUAAAUGUCACCUUCAUGGCAUGUUGGUGAAGCUGAAAGCAUCAAGUUCUUUAUAUAAAACAUCCAUAUAACCUAUCAAAACAUAUAAAUAACUUAUUUCAUAUAAUCAAUCAAAACUAAUAAUUAAUGUUCAAAUAAAAAAAAACAAAUGCAUUUAUGUUACAUACCUAAUGUAAUAGCUGGGCGUCCAACUUAUCAUGGUAAAGCUCGUGGACAUAAAUAAGAUUUACCAUGAAAUGUCUAGCCUAUAUCAUUUGACAAGACAAGCUACAAAGUUAACACCUUUUUUUCCAUUCAAUUUAUAUAAAUAACAUGUUGAAUUUAAUCAAACAUGUUUUUAAUUAAUACCUAGAACUAAUGGAGAGUGGUCUUUAAGUAACAGUGUCAAACAUGUUAUUAACCUAGCUCUCUGGACACCCAACAUGAAUAUGCUUACAUGACCAAAGCUAUAUUAAUCAAUAUUGAGAAUUUUAAGUUAGUAUUUAAAAUGUUAUUAAUUAUAAUAAUAAAAUAAUCUAAAAUACAUAUACCUGAAGAAAUUAAAGACACCCGAAAAUUUAUCUUCUCUUUUUUAGACAUGUUUUAUAUAGUUAUUGGUAUAGAUACAUAAACAUGACCCCCCUAACUGUAAUUUAGAAUAGCCCAAAAUUCAUCAAGUAGUGUCGAAAAGUACAAUGGUAUUGCAUUGUCAAUAGUACUUAUAAAAACAAGACCUUCAAACAUGUGUAAAAUGUAUCCUCGAGUAUACUUAAUUAGUUGGUCUAUUGUCGCACUUGUUAGGGGGUUUGAAAAUUAGCAUCCAACCAUGUUAAUUUGAUGCAAUUGCCUCUAUAUGUAUUGGCUGAGGCACCUGUCCUAAUAGAUGAUCACAUAAUGUAUCUUUAUCAAUUGAGCCUUCACGACUGGUGAUAAAUGUCUCAUCUAUAAAAAAAUUAGUCAACAUCACCACAUCUUUCAGUGUUGAUGUCAUCUCACCAACACGUGGAUAAAAGGUGUACGUUUCGUGUCUUUAUUGCUCAACCAAUGUUGUAAUCAAUGCAUGGUCAAGAUGUAUGCGACACAACUAACUGAUCUCAUAAAAACCAGCCUUUAUAAUAUAUGGACGCACAUGAUCAUACAACUUCAUCAAUGCAUGUUGUCUAGGUGUGACCGGAUCACCGCCAUUAAAACCAAACAAUAUUAGUUAAAUCAUCAAUUAAUAUCAUUAAAAUUGUAAUAAUUAAAAAUUUUAAUUAAAAUAUUCAUCUUACCUCUUCGCUCAAAAUAUGAUAUGAACGAUGCUAAUUCUACAUAUAUAAAAUCGAUCUAUCAUCAGAAUCUACAUCAGAAACAAGAUGGCCAUGUUUGUCUACACUUUUAGAAGAGGUCAAACCUCCUUUAGUCCGAACCAUGUCUAUCUUAAGAUCCUAUAUAAAAAAAAUUGGUAGCAUUUACAAUAUAAUUGAACAUAUAUAUAGUUAAAUUAAAAUAAUAAUAAUUGAAGUUGAUGUAAUUUAAAACAAAUAAAAAAUAAUAUGUGGUCUAAUUUCACAAGUUUUUAUGUUAUGACUUCUUUGGCUGUAGAUGCCACAUCUAUUCGGUAAGUACCCCCUUCGAGCAUCCAUCUCAUUAUGUAAACGAGUGGAUUUCCUUCAACCCUUAUACAUCCUCUAUUUAAUUAAAACAUCCAUAUACAUCUGAACCAGUAUAUGUAGGCCACAAUAACGUAUUAGGCAAAGGUUGCAAAGAAGAACUAUAUGCAUUUUUGUACGACAAGUUGGAGUAAAAAUUAUCAAUAAAGUGUACAUAGUUCAUAUUUUGUAAAGUGUAACAUGCAAUUAAGUUUGAACAUGGUUGAUUAUACAAAUGUCAUUUACCACAAAUACAAGUUACUUCAUUGAUGUUAAUAGUUUCUCGCACUUUUCUUAUAACACCAGUUAUUAAAGGUGUCUCAAACUAAAACAUACCAUCUCCAAGAUUAAAUAUAGAUAUAAAAUGUAAUCUAGAAGUUUCUAUAUCAGCAAGUAUUUCAGUUAUAACCUUUAGAGGCCACAACACAUCACAACUAAAAAAUUCUUCAACUUUAUCUCUAUGCUCCACAAAACAUUAUUACACUUGAAAAAUAUUAUCUGCAUUAUAGUUGAAAUAGGCGAUCCAUAGAUAAUUUUUAAAACAUUAUUUAAAAUCUUUAACAAGUUCGUGGUUAUAUUGUCAUAAUAAAUACCAUCAUAAUCAUAAGACAAUGCCCACUUUUCUUUAGGUUAAAUAUUUAGCCAUGCUCUAAUCGCAUCAUUAGUCUUCACUAACUCCUCAUAUAAAAUGUUAAGCUUAUGUUUAGAAGAAUUUGUACACAUCCUAUGCAAUAUAUUUUUCAAGGUAACAUUUUUGAACUAUGUUGAAGUUACUCACAAAGUUUUGUGAGCAAUAUCAAUGAUAUCCAAUAGGCUCAAGAAAAAUCUGUGCCAUAGAACUCUUUAUCGCUGCAUGUCUAUCCGAUAUAAUACAAAACAUGGUUUGUCCAAAAACCAACUUCAAUUACUGUUUGUUUUUUUUUUUUUUAUAUAAUAACCAAACAAAACAGAUAAACUCCAUUAUUCAUAUCAUACGCAACUACAACCUACAAUUUAGCCUUGUACUUACCAUAAAGGUAAGUAUAAGUAUUGUCAAUACUAAUUAGAGGGCAAUAAUAUUGAAACCCAUUAAUUAAAUCACUGAACGCCCAAAAUGCUCUCCCAAAUGUUGCCUUAUUGCCAUCUACCAUUUUAUGAUCCCAAGUAAUAAUUAUUCCCGGAUUUGAAUCUUUGAUGGCCAAUAAAGUUAGGUAGGUUUUGAAAUGACUUUUUGUAUGUGCCAAAUAAUCUCUCCAAUAUUUUUUGUUUGGCCAUCCAUGCUUUCCAAUAAAAUAUUUCAUGACCAUAAUCUCUCUCCACAGUAUCCUAAAUCAUUGCAACACUCAUACUUAACUCCCUUUUCAUAAUUGUCAACAUCAUCUCAACAAUUAGAUCUAAGUUAAUCUGGCAAUGAUAAUGCAAAACAAGAGGGUUUCGAUAUAUGUUGACCCUUUUGAUUUUCAAGUUUCCUAUGAAUUAGACCUUUGAUGAUACUUCCCACACAAAUACCAUCUACAAAAUGGUUCUUAAAUACAUUGCAACUGAACAUAUGAAUUUAUUGAGCGAUGAACCUUUUAUUGCAAAUACUUUUUUAUAUACCACCUCUUUAUUACAUUAACACAUUCAGACUUGUCUUUAAAUGUUUUCCUAACCUCCAACUCAUUAACUAAUAAGUUUAAAUGCUUACGACUAUCAGCCCAAUCAUUGCAUCCAUGGUGGUCAUCCACACUAACAACCUUAAAUUCAGGAGUAGGAGGUGCCAUGUAUUGAUUAACAAGUUUAACUAACUUAGCAUCCUUGUCAUCACCAUCUUUCUCAUCAACCAUAACUCUAUCAAUAUGAUGCUUAAUUUUUCAUUACUUGGUUCGUCAUCACAUAGAAAUAUGGAAUAAAUGUCAUGCCUAACUGAGGUUCUAUAUUAACAAUUUCUUGCACCAAAACUUGUCAACUAGCAUUGCCACCUAACCUAGAUAGACUAACUGUUUUUGACGCCUAUAUGGUUCUUUGAGAGGUACUUGGAAACCGAGUCAACUCCAUACUAGAAGAGUUUUCUCGUCUAGGUAUACUAUUCAAGUAUAGCCCCGACAUAUUAAUCUCAUUGAUUCUUGCAAACCCAAACAUUGAAUUCACACUCUCGUCGCUAUUUAUUGGUACACUGACAUAAUGAGCUUGACUAACCCUGAUUUGCUACAUCCUUCAAAUAAUUUCAACUUUUAUUUUAAACAUAUUCCAGCCAUAUUGAUCACAUAACAUCUUUGAUAAUUUGUUAAAGGACAUGUCUGAUGUAGCAAUUAAAAAUUCAUAAAUUCCUUCAUUAUAAGUGAUACCAUUUUUCAGUAUCGAUAAUGAUACCACAAUGGAAGCUUAAUAUUUCCAAAUUAUCAGACAUUCUGUCAAACAACACAACAAAAACACAUUUAUAAUUUAUUAAUAUAUUGAGGUUAAUCAAAGUAUAUCAAUUAUCAAUUAAAAAUAUAUCUAAUUAACCUAAUCCAUAAUUUAAUCCAAAUCAACACCAACAUUUCAAACAUAUAAUUUUAUUAAUUCACAAUCAACAAUAACCUAAAAUAAUUAAUUAUUUAACAAAAAAACCUAAAUAUCAACUAAAAAUAAUAUAUAUAAUUAACCUAAUCCAUAAUUUAACCUAAAUCAAACUAAUAUUUAUUCUCCAUAAUUUUGUUAAUUAACUAAAUAACAUAGUUGGUACUAAUUAAACAUAAAUUAAUUUUAAUUAACCUAAUUUAUAAUUUAAAACCCUAACAUUUAAUAGAAUCCAAUUAACACUAAUUAAACAUAAAUUACAUGAAAUUAAUUGAAGGAAAGUGCUCAAUAUACCUAUACCUCUAGAAGUGAAAUGUGGCUGGUAAGGGUGACCGGCUAGAAUGUGGCUGCCCCGCUGCUGGUAGAGAGAGAAAGAGAGGUUACCGUGGGUAGAGCUAGAGAGAGAGAGAGAGAGAGAGAUGAGUGAUGUAGAAAGAAAUGAGUGUUUAAGGG